rnacentral:lncRNA from 12 species
CUGAGAUGAAAAAUGUGUAAGUACCUCCCCACACUCAGCUGAUGAGUGUAGAUAGACAUACUGGUCUGGAGCAUCCAGUGGUCAUUGCCAAAUUCUUCUAUUACAUCAAAG